rnacentral:tRNA from 1 species
CCAGGAAGCUAAGUGGUUAAGAAUCCGCCUGCAAAUGCGGAGAUGCAGGUUCGAUUCCUGCAUCUUGGA